GGCGCUCUCGGGUGCAGCGGCUCUCCGGCGAGGUUCGUGUUUUGGUGAUUCGGCUCCGGUCAACCUGUAGAGAAAAGAAUGGUGAUCACGGUGAUAUAAAAAUUGCAUCGAACGGAGGCCGGGAAGGGCCUCGUCGGAGGCAAAAACCGAGAGGGGGCGCGGCGGCGCCGCUGGGCUUCGGCCGCGUAUUCCGGCCGUUUGGCCGGGAUUUCGGCUUCGAUUUGGCCAUAGGAGGAAUCAGUGGGGAAAAACGAGUCGGGGGUAUGAAAUUUACCUCGAUCGGCGGUCGGAAAUUUCCCCGGUGCGGCGGCGAGCGGCGGCGGGUGGCGGCGGUCGGCCUCUGGUUCGUCUUCUCCGGCGAGCGGCUGGCGGCUAGGGUUUGUGGUCUGGUGUGGGGGUUCUAUUUAUAACCCCUUGCCUUUUGAUCACAGCCGUCCAUUUUGUUUUAAUCUGGGCCGUUCGUUUUUGAUUGAAUCUGGGCCGUCCGUGCGAUUGAAUCUGGGCCGUCCGAUCGCGUGAUUGAUCUGGGCCGUCGGAUCGCACCCACGCGGAUCGCCAACGUGGCUCCUUUCGGAGUGACGCGAUCUUGCCACGUGUCAGGCCCUGGUUGGCCGGGACUGCUGACGUGGCUGCUGACGCGGCUGCUGACGUGGCCCCCCCUUUUUUUUUUUUUUUUUUUUUUUUUUUUUUUUUUUUCCUCCUCCUUUCCGGGUGCUACAAAUGAAGAUCGAACAUUAGUACUGACGGAGAGACAUCAAACAAAUAUUUACAAUAUGCCCAUCCAAUCGUAACCUACUUGAUUAGCAUAGUAAAUCACAUAUCUCCUUCUCCAUAUCAGCUCUCUGAUCCCUGUUCUGUGCGCAGGCGAGGCAACGCGAGCACAAUCUUUCCUCCCGAUCAUAAAUCAACUUCUGGAAGAAGGAAGAUUAAGAACUUUGGCUAAGAUUUCAUUCUUCACCUGUGAUCGUGAUUUUGGGAGAUGAGCGAAGGAACCUCUAGUU
rnacentral:lncRNA from 1 species